AACGAACGCUGGCGGCGUGCCUGACACAUGCAAGUCGAACGAGAAAGUUCCGUUCGCGGAAUGAGUAAAGUGGCGCACGGGUGAGUAACACGUGGAUAAUCUGCCCUUAAGCGAGGAAUAACAUUUCGAAAGGAACGCUAAUACCUCAUAAUGUUAUUUUCUCUUCGGAGGGAAUAGCCAAAGGUGACCUCUGUCUCAAGUUGCCGCUUAGAGAUGAGUCCGCGGCCCAUUAGCUAGUUGGUGGGGUAAAAGCCUACCAAGGCGACGAUGGGUAGCUGGUCUGAGAGGAUGAUCAGCCACACUGGAACUGAGAUACGGUCCAGACUCCUACGGGAGGCAGCAGUGAGGAAUCUUGCGCAAUGGGGGAAACCCUGACGCAGCAACGCCGUGUGAGUGAUGAAGGUCUUCGGGUCGUAAAGCUCUGUUUGAAGGGACGAAACGUAUUUGAUUAAUACUCAAAUAACUUGACGGUACCUUCAGAGGAAGCACCGGCUAACUCCGUGCCAGCAGCCGCGGUAAUACGGAGGGUGCAAGCGUUGUUCGGAAUCACUGGGCGUAAA
rnacentral:rRNA from 1 species